CCUACGGGUGGCAGCAGUAGGGAAUAUUGCUCAAUGGCGGAAACCCUGAAGCAGCAACGCAGCGUGGAGGAUGAAGGUCUUCGGAUUGUAAACUCCUUUUGUUAGAGAAGAUAAUGACGGUAUCUAAGGAAUAAGCAACGGAUAACUCCGUGCCAGCAGCCGCGGUAAUACGGAGGGUGCAAGCGUUAUUCGGAAUGACUGGGCGUAAAGAGCGCGUAGGCGGGACAGCAGGCCAGACGUGAAGUCUUAUGGCUUAACCAUAGAAGUGAUUUGGCAACUGUUAUUCUAGAGUGUGGGAGAGGUAGGUGGAAUUCUUGGUGUAGGGGUAAAAUCCGUAGAGAUCAAGAGGAAUACUGAUUGCGAAGGCGACCUGCUAGAACAUAACUGACGCUGAUGCGCGAAAGCGUGGGGAGCAAACAGGAGUAGAUACCCCGGUAGUC
rnacentral:rRNA from 1 species